AUUGAACGCUGGCGGAAUGCUUUACACAUGCAAGUCGAACGGCAGCACGGACUUCGGUCUGGUGGCGAGUGGCGAACGGGUGAGUAAUGUAUCGGAACGUGCCCAGUCGUGGGGGAUAACGUAGUGAAAAUUACGCUAAUACCGCAUACGAUCUAUGGAUGAAAGCGGGGGAUCGCAAGACCUCGCGCGAUUGGAGCGGCCGAUAUCAGAUUAGGUAGUUGGUGGGGUAAAGGCCCACCAAGCCAACGAUCUGUAGCUGGUCUGAGAGGACGAACAGACAAACUGGAAUGGAGGACCGGCCCAGACUGCUACGGGAGGCAGGAGUGGGGAAUUUUGGACAAUGGGCGAAAGCCUGAUCCAGCCAUUCCGCGUGCAGGAUGAAGGCCCUCGGGUUGUAAACUGCUUUUGUACAGAACGAAAAGGUUUCUACUAAUACUAGGAGCUCAUGACGGUACUGUAAGAAUAAGCACCGGCUAACUACGUGCCAGCAGCCGCCGUAA
rnacentral:rRNA from 1 species